GUGACUUUCUGAGGCAUGACUUACUCAAUACUUCAUCCUUUAACCUAAAUUGUGCAGUACUGUAUCACUAAGAAGAAUCAGUACUUGUUCUACUCGCUCAAUAUAUGCAAAAUCUAUGAAUGCGUCAAGAAUGCCAGACUUACAAUCCAUAGUGUCUAAACCCUUUCACUUUCUGUGAGUGGAUGGACAGAGUCACGCUCUAUUGAAGAAUUUAAAAAUAGUACCUGAGCCACACAGGGUUCUGCAAUAGCACAGCAUGAGUAGAGCCUACAAUUGAAUGUAUAAAGAAAAAGGGGCUGUACUAGCAUUCUAAAAAGACAGGAGCAGCCAUGCAAUAUACAAUAUCUUGUUUGGCCUGGGUUUUUACAAUUACUUUGCCAAGUGUCAUACAGUAGCUGUGUAUUGCAGUGUGCAGAACCCCUCCCUGAUAUCCAGCAAAUAAUGCAUGUGCCUACCUACUCAGACAUGAAGGAGUGGAGUAAUAAAGUAGAACUGGCAUCUGAAAACCCAAUUAAGUACUCGGGUAAGACAGGAAGCACUAUAAAAAGUUAGAAGAUUUUACAUCAGUGAUAUUAUCCUGACCUGCAAACUCUGAAAAUCAAAUGGUAAUAAGCAAGCUACGCUAUCCGAGACUGACAUGCCAGUUUUGUUAAAAUUCAUGAGCGAAGCAACAUUCAAUAGUGCUUCGAUUGGAUGGGAGACUUCCAUGGAAUGACUGGAUGCUCCAGGCAGGGAGCAGGAGUAAUUAGCCAUUGGAACACUUUACCAAUGGUCAUGGUGGAUCCUCUAAUCACACACAAUUUUUAAAUCAAGACUGGAUCUCUGUAAAAGAUGUAAGGUGUGGAAGAUAGUCCAUACAGUGCACCAUCUGACUCAUAAUGAGAGCUAUGACCACAGCCCUGGAGCUGCUUCUGAUCAUCUCUGAGAAUGGUCCUGGAUAUGUGGCUAGAAUGUGUUUCUUUUACCCACUAUUAAUUCAGGCAACUGAUUAAAUUGAGAACAUUUCCUUGUGAAAUUUACAUUAUACAUGGAUCAAUUUACUUCAUAUGGCUAUAGAAUUCCUUUUCAAGCACAGGUGCACUGUCCUUAGCAUUUUCCCCAGUACAUUUAUUUCAUGGAUAUAAUAAUCAGCUCUCAUAAUAUAUUUAUUCAAUUAUGUCAUAAUUAAGUGUUUAAGACUUUGCAAUUAAUAUCGACAGAAGUGAUUCUGAUGUGAUCAACAACAGUUUAUGGCAUUCACUGAAUUAAUCAGGGAAGAAAGUCAGGCUUAUUAUAAGAAAGAAUCUAUAUUUCUGUGAAUAUUUAUAUUUAUGUUUGUUGUUAUUUCUAUAAGCAUUGAGCUCACAAAGACUGUGUUCCCAUCAUGACAUACCAUCCACCAAAUUCUGCUUUUGAUUAUUUACUGAUGUAAACUGAAAGGAACUUCUCCCAGUUUAUGCCAAUGUAACUGAAAGCAGAGUUUGGCCCAUUGCUUUCAUUUGUAGAAGACUAUCUUUUUUAAAUGCACCUGUGAUGCACACAAUAUGAUUUUUGUAUUGUCUUGCGGGAACACUGAAUUUGUAGAAGUUGUUUAGGAACCUGCCUUCUCACCUUGGCUGAUUUUGAAGCAUUAAAAGCAUAAAUUUAAAUAAUUUGAGUUUAAAUUCGAAGACACCAAAAGACUGCAUAGCCAUUGUAGUCCACACAGAGGCUGAUAUUUAUUUUAUAGGAGGUAGACAAAAUAUGGGGAGGAAAAAAAAUCAAAAUUUUGAAACAUUUUGCAAGUUGUUUCCAUUUCACAGAGUUCUAAAUGAAGAACUUUUUAAAAAACUUUUUUCCAAAGUAAAAAUAUUUCAAAUGUCAAAUUUUUGACUAUUUAUCACACAGUGCAAUAAAAGGAAUGUCCAGGUUAGGAUGAGUUUUUGUGCUUUACAUUUUCUAAAUUUCUUCAACUUUGGAAAAACUAUAGAGUGGAAAAAUGAAACUAACUCAGCCAUUCUGUAACUUUUCAAAACUUCAGUCUUAAAAAAGUUAGUUUUUUUUCUUUUUGCCUCUUAAUAACUUUUCCAAAGUUGAGGGUGUUUUGAAAAGAUAGGAGGAGGAGAAAUAAAAUACAGAAAAAAAAUCUAGACAUCUGUUAUUCUGUUGCAUUCAGGUGGUCAGGGGGGAGGUGGGAAAAUAUCUGAUAGAAAUUUUCUUGUUUUCAAAAAUUGAAAUGGAACAAAAAAAUUGUUAAAAAUAUGAUCAAAAGUGACAUUUGCCUGUGAACAAUUUUGAUUUUGAUGAAACCCUAUUUUUUGGCCAGAACAUUUUUAGGCCUUAUUCUUGUUUAAGCAGUGUGGAAAAUAUCACAUUAGAAAUUGGAUACAUUUUUUGUUUGAUAGGUAGAGGGUAAAUGCAUAUAGUUCCAAAGCAACUUGUGGUUAUUUGAAAGCAUGAUGGAC